GAGUUUGAUCCUGGCUCAGAAUCAACGCUGGCGGCGUGCCUAACACAUGCAAGUCGAACGCGAAAACCCCGCAAGGGGUUAGUAGAGUGGCGAACGGGUGAGUAACACGUGGGUGACCUACCUUCGAAUGGGGGAUAACGUCCCGAAAGGGACGCUAAUACCGCAUAACAUCCUGCUUUUGAACAGGUGGAGAUCAAAGCCGGGGAUCGCAAGACCUGGCGUUUGGAGAGGGGCCCGCGUCUGAUUAGCUAGUUGGUGAGGUAACGGCUCACCAAGGCGACGAUCAGUAUCCGGCCUGAGAGGGCGGACGGACACACUGGGACUGAGACACGGCCCAGACUCCUACGGGAGGCAGCAGUGGGGAAUUGUUCGCAAUGGGCGCAAGCCUGACGACGCAAC
rnacentral:rRNA from 1 species